rnacentral:rRNA from 1 species
AGAGUUUGAUCCUGGCUCAGGAUGAACGCUGGCGGCGUGCCUAAUACAUGCAAGUCGGACGGGGUGGAGCAAUCCAUCUAGUGGCGAACGGGUGAGUAACGCGUUGGUGACCUGCCCUGGAGUGUGGGAUACCAGGCCGAAAGGCUUGCUAAUACCGCAUAACCCAACGGGAGACUAGAAGCCGGUUGGGAAAGGAGAAAUCCGCUCUGGGAGGGGCCUGCGUCCCAUCAGCUAGUUGGUAAGGUAACGGCCUACCAAGGCGAUGACGGGUAGGGGACCUGAGAGGGUGAUCCCCCACAAUGGAACUGAAACACGGUCCAUACACCUACGGGUGGCAGCAGUAGGGAAUAUUGCUUAAUGGGCGCAAGCCUGAAGCAGCAACGCCGCGUGUGCGAUGAAGGCCUUCGGGUUGUAAAGCACUUUUUACCGGGAAGAGGAAGGACGGUACCGGUAGAAUCAGCCUCGGCUAACUACGUGCCAGCAGCCGCGGUAAUAC